UCUUAGGUGACUGAGUAUAUAAGUAUUAGACUUUUAAUCUAAAAACGGCAGAAUGUUGAUAUGCCCCUAAGAG
rnacentral:tRNA from 1 species